CAAGGAAUAGUUUAAGUAGAACUUCAGCUUUGGGUGUUGAAGGUGGGGUUAGUGCCUCUUCCUUGA
rnacentral:tRNA from 1 species